GUCCCUUCCGGGACAUUCGAUAAACUGGGAUGACAAAGAGAAGAUCAACAUGGCCCCUGCGGAUGAUGACAUGCACAAAUCAAGAAAUGGUCCAAAUUUUU